rnacentral:rRNA from 1 species
GAUGAACGCUGGCGGCGUGCCUAAUACAUGCAAGUCGAGCGAACGGACGAGAAGCUUGCUUCUCUGAUGUUAGCGGCGGACGGGUGAGUAACACGUGGAUAACCUACCUAUAAGACUGGGAUCACUUCGGGAAACCGGAGCUAAUACCGGAUCAUAUUUUGAACCGCAUGGUUCAAAAGUGAAAGACGGUCUUGCUGUCACUUAUAGAUGGAUCCGCGCUGGAUUAGCUAGUUGGUAAGGUAACGGCUUACCAAGGCGACGAUGCAUAGCCGACCUGAGAGGGUGAUCGGCCACACUGGAACUGAGACACGGUCCAGACUCCUACGGGAGGCAGCAGUAGGGAAUCUUCCGCAAUGGGCGAAAGCCUGACGGAGCAACGCCGCGUGUGUGAUGAAGGUCUUCGGAUCGUAAAGCUCUGUUAUUAGGGAAGAACAUAAGUGUGAGUAACUGUUCACAUCUUGACGGUACCAAAUCAGAAAGCCACGGCUAACUACGUG